rnacentral:rRNA from 1 species
AUCAACUUUCGAUGGUAGGAUAGAGGCCUACCAUGAUGGUAACGGGUAACGGGGUGUUAGGGCACGACACCGGAGAGGGAGCCUGAGAAACGGCUACCACAUCCAAGGAUGGCAGCAGGCGCGCAAAUUACCCAAUCCCGACACGGGGAGGUAGUGACAAUAAAUAACAAUACGGGGUUCUUUAGGAUCUCGUAAUUGGAAUGAGUACAAUUUAAAUCUCUUAACGAGGAACAAUUGGAGGGCAAGUCUGGUGCCAGCAGCCGCGGUAAUUCCAGCUCCAAUAGCGUAUAUUAAAGUUGUUGCAGUUAAAAAGCUCGUAGUUGAAUUUCGGGGUUAGUAGGUUGGUCAUGCCUCUGGUAUGUACUGGUCUCACUGAUUCCUCCUUCCUGAUGAACCUUAAUGCCAUUAAUUUGGUGUUUUGGGGAAUUUGGACUGUUACUUUGAAAAAAUUAGAGUGUUUAAAGCAAGCUAACGCUUGAAUACAUUAGCAUGGAAUAAUGAAAUAGGACGUUCGAUCCUAUUUUGUUGGUUUCUAGGAUUGACGUAAUGAUUAAUAGGGAUAGUUGGGGGCAUUAGUAUUCAAUUGUCAGAGGUGAAAUUCUUGGAUUUAUUGAAGACUAACUACUGCGAAAGCAUUUGCCAAGGAUGUUUUCAUUAAUCAAGAACGAAAGUUAGGGGAUCGAAGACGAUCAGAUACCGUCGUAGUCUUAACCAUAAACUAUGCCGACUAGGGAUCGGAUGAUGUUAAUUUUUUAAUGACUCAUUCGGCGCCUUACGGGAAACCAAAGUGUUUGGGUUC